rnacentral:rRNA from 1 species
UAGCUCAGUAACACGUGGAUAAUCUGCCCUAUGGUGGAGGAUAACCCCGGGAAACUGGGGAUAAUACUCCAUAAGUCAGGAGUACUGGAAUGUCUCCUAACUGAAAGUUGCGGCGCCAUAGGAUGAAUCUGCGGCCGAUUAGGUAGUUGUUGGGGUUUUUUUUCCAACAAGCCUGUAAUCGGUACGGGUUGUGGGAGCAAGAGCCCGGAGAUGGAAUCUGAGACACGAUUCCAGGCCCUACGGGGCGCAGCGGGCGCGAAAACUUUACAAUGCAGGAGACUGUGAUAAGGGAACCCCGAGUGCCCGUAAACGCGGGCUGUCCCGGUGUUUAAAACACAUCGGAAGAAAGGGCCGGGCAAGACCGGUGCCAGCCGCCGCGGUAAUACCGGCGGCUCGAGUGGUGACCACUUUUAUUGGGCUUAAAGCGUUCGUAGCUUGAUUUUUAAGUCUCUUGGGAAAUCUCACGGCUUAACUGUGAGGCGUCUAAGAGAUACUGGGGAAUCUAGGGGACCGGGGAGAAGGUAAGAAGGUAUCUUUUAGGG